ensembl:misc_RNA Metazoa_SRP Metazoan signal recognition particle RNA
GCUGGGUGUGGUGGCGCACGCCUGUAAUCCCAGCUACUUGGGAGGUUGAGGCACAAGAAUUGCUUGAACCCAGGUGCUGAAGGUAGCAGUGAGCUGAGGUCAUGCCACUGUCCUCCAGCCUGGGUGACAGAGGGAGACUCUGUCUCCA